UCCUCCUCGUUGUCUGAUCAGUACCUCUUCAGUCUUCUGUGCUCACAAUGCAGCAUCACCUCUCAGGGAAGACCUCGCCGUCCUCUCCAGCUAGAAAGCGUACAAAAAGCAAACAUGGUGACAGACCCGAGUGGCAGGGAGGGCCCAGGGAGAGGGCAGGACAACCCCGAGGAAUCAGCACGUUCCUUUGGAUCUUCUUGCCUCUGAAGUGUUUUCUUUGAAGACAUAUGUCGAUUAAAGGAAAAAAUGCAGCCACACCAAUAAGGACCUGGAAAACAAAAGGAGCCUUCUUAUUUUUGCUUUCCAGUCUGAAGCUGUCCUAGUUCCUUCCUGGUUUCUAAUUCGUAAGUAUGGGCGGUUCAACAGCGCUUGUCCACCUCCAACGGCCAGAGCCCAGAGACUUAGUUCCCCUCCCCCGCCACCCUGCCAUUCCACUACUGCUUUCUCUCUGGACACCUGGUGGGGCGGGCCCUUUGCCUCUGGGUCAGCAGCUACGAGGAGGAAGCUACUAGUAUGGCUGGUUCCCUAGACUUCCUCUUUAUUUAAAUGGUUUCUCAGUUGGAAAAAUGUAUCAGCUUUCCUCUUAAACUUUGCCUGGGUCUCAAGAUUCUGUGAAAAGGAAGGGAGCCCUGCUCUUCAAAUCCGGGAAACACCCAUUCUCCAAAAGAGGUGAUUUCUGAGCAAAUCAACAAACAGCCCAACCAGAAAGACUCACCACAGCGAUGACGUAGUUCACUGGCAUGGUCUUUCGAGUCCGCACAGCAAACACCGCAGCCCCCACCAGGAAGACGGCAGCAAACAGGUCGUUGAGAAUGUCCUGAAACCGUGGGAGAGAUGAGUGUCAGUCUGGAACAGAGCCCAGGCCCCGCUGACACCUGGCCUGGCAGAGCACACGGCUUCCUCCA